UUCGUUAUCGUACGUCAAUGACACCCAUUUGCCGCCAAACGCACUGACUCCGGCGAUGACGUCCGUCGAACCCAUUUAUGUAUACAGGAUGCACAGGUGAAUCCUUGUACCUACGAUAGCAGCGGGUAGUAAAUGUUUAAUGCCAAUUUGGAAAAUAACUACCUAUGGACAAAACCCUAUUGGUAACCUAUUAUUUAUGACAAUAUUGAGUGUGGUAAGGCCCACCACCAAUAAGAGUUUGACGACUGACACAAGUGAAGAACGUUAUUGGGGGAGCCGACUGUGGUCAACAAACAACAGUUAAUCACCAGAACGGAGGGCGGCACUCACCAUUUUCGAGUUUCGUCGUCGGUGGCUGGACCAAUUUCUGGACGACUGGACCGCCGUCCGCGUACAAAAAAAAACCGUCGACGGCGGACGGCACUCAAAGGUGAGCGUCUUGAUGAGGAUGACGUGCUGACGGUGUCCACCGCCCAACAGCAGAAAAACAGACCCUGUUCUCCGCUGUGCUCUAUCUCAAUCGGCAGACAAUAUCAUCGUCGUGGGCAUGGCUGGCUAUUCCGAAAACGCACACGACUAAAAAUUCGUACACUGUCUUCGGUCGAUGGUUCCCGAGUGCAACGCGACACAACACACAACAGUUCACAAAUGUAGACGAUUUGAUUUUAAUUUUUUCUUAUUAUCAAUCGACACACACACGACAGACGUUACAAUAAAAAAAAAAAUGAAAAUAAUAAAUCGAAAAAAAACACCCACAAGCUGACGGCGGUCAAUAUCACAAUUAUUCACAAUAUCGCAGGGUAUGUGGUAGUCAUGAUCACUGUCAAGCUGCAUAUCCAAAAAUAAAGUCGGAAUCAAGACACACCAAAAUGACCGAUGGGGACCAAAAGUAACUGCGAAAGUAACAAGCAAAAAAAUCACGAGUCAUCU